AUGUGUUUUAGAGAUAUACAUUGCUUCAAUCUAGCUUUAUUAGCCAAACAGGUAUGGUGUCUGAUUGAUAAUCCUGAGUCCUUAUGUGCAUGUAUCUUAAGAGCUAAUUAUUUUUCGGAUGGGGACUUAAUGAACGCAAAACUAAAGAAGGGGUCCUCUUUUACUUGGCAAAGUAUUAUGGCGGGAGUAAAAUUGCUAAAAAAAUGGUUAUAUUUGGCAGGUUGGAAAUGA
rnacentral:rRNA from 1 species